rnacentral:rRNA from 1 species
AACGGGUGCUAAUACUGGAUAUUCACUGAUCUUCGCAUGGGGGUUGGUGGAAAGGUUUUUUCUGGUGGGGGAUGGGCUCGCGGCCUAUCAGCUUGUUGGUGGGGUGAUGGCCUACCAAGGCUUUGACGGGUAGCCGGCCUGAGAGGGUGACCGGUCACAUUGGGACUGAGAUACGGCCCAGACUCCUACGGGAGGCAGCAGUGGGGAAUAUUGCACAAUGGGCGAAAGCCUGAUGCAGCGACGCCGCGUGAGGGAUGGAGGCCUUCGGGUUGUAAACCUCUUUCGCUCAUGGUCAAGCCGCAACUUAGGGUUGUGGUGAGGGUAGUGGGUAAAGAAGCGCCGGCUAACUACGUGCCAGCAGCCGCGGUAAUACGUAGGGCGCGAGCGUUGUCCGGAAUUAUUGGGCGUAAAGGGCUUGUAGGCGGUUGGUCGCGUCUGCCGUGAAAUCCUCUGGCUUAACUGGGGGCGUGCGGUGGGUACGGGCUGACUUGAGUGCGGUAGGGGAGACUGGAACUCCUGGUGUAGCGGUGGAAUGCGCAGAUAUCAGGAAGAACACCGGUGGCGAAGGCGGGUCUCUGGGCCGUUACUGACGCUGAGGAGCGAAAGCGUGGGGAGCGAACAGGAUUAGAUACCCUGGUAGUCCACGCUGUAAACGUUGGGCACUAGGUGUGGGGGCCACCCGUGGUUUCUGCGCCGUAGCUAACGCUUUAAGUGCCCCGCCUGGGGAGUACGGCCGCAAGGCUAAAACUCAAAGGAAUUGACGGG